rnacentral:lncRNA from 1 species
UGAAACCUCCCAAAUAUAAAGAUUUGCUAUGAUACAAUGUUUACCGAGUUUAUUACUGAAUUGUUAAAUUGAUUUUGUUACAAGAAACACAUGAUGAGACUUAUUAUUAUUACCGUUUUAAAAAAGGGCAUUUUAUUUUGUGAUUAUUAUGCAAGCAUAUUUUCUGACUUGUCCCCAAUUAAAAACGGUUGUGGUUAAGUGUUAUUACUCACUGAGCUAGCGACUCAUUCCCCACUAUUUUGGAAGGGUGAGGAAGGUUGAGAAAGAGGUUUGGAAAAUGUUUUCUCUUCUCUUGAUAAUGAAAAUAUUUUUCUCCAAUUAGAGGAAAAUGAAUUUACAAAGAAAAUAUUUUUCAAAAUAUUUAAGCCAAUUAAACAUAAAAAAAUUAAAAAAUAUUUUCCGAAAAAUAUUUCCUUUCAUACCAAACACACCCAAAAUUGAAUUUCCUUUUCAAAAUAAUAGAGAGCUUAGUCCGUCGUGGGUCUCAUUAAUAGAAGCCGAGCUAAAUUAGACCUUCUCUUCGAAUUCAUUGAAAGAAGGCAUGAAUUGGGUGUUUUAUGUGUGUUGAUGAUUGGAUAAAUUAUUGUAACUUUAUAGAUUUACAGUAUAGUACUUUGUGUGUGCGGGUGUGAGUUUGGAAUGUGCUAAGUCAAGAACUUCUCUUACGUAUUUAUAUAUUCAAUAUUGGAAGUGAUUAAGUUCAAAGUGCCUUCAUUUUAGGGCUGGGCAUAAUUUAGUAAAUAUCAAAUUAUCGUAUCG